rnacentral:lncRNA from 1 species
UUUUUAAGAGAAAAACUAAUAGAUAAUCUCUCGAUUCAUCCCUUGUCUUACAUUCUCCUUCGUUGAUCACCCCCGGUCGUUAUCCAUCAUCGUCUUCUACUUACCAACAGCCCUCGUCGUCACCAACUCACCGCCGGACUCCCGUCGUCGUUGUCGCAUCCAACACUGAUGACCACCUUGGACGAAGCCACAACCUGAGUUGGGAUAUGCUGGUGAUCAACUUGGACAAAGCAAUCAGUUUUGCUAUCGGAUAUGGAUUUAGCUUCAUUCAUCUACUCUCAAUUCUUCUACAUUGACAUAUUCGAAGGUAUGAUUAGAUUUGGUCUUUAUUAAUUACUUGAUUGGGCCGACUAGGUGUAAUUUUUGACGGGAUAUUGGCGUAAUUAAGAAUUAUGUUAUCAGAUGGAGAAUAAGUUGAAAUCAAGAAAUAGGUUAAUGAGACGGCACUACAUCUAAUUUAUGAAGAGCUCCAAAAUAGAGAUAGAAUUUCUGAUGCACAUAACCUAUUUGAUGAAAUGUUUGAGAUAAAAAGUACAAGUUAAAGUUAAUAAUCUAAUCAAGAAGAAGGUGAAGAUGAUUAAUCAAUUGUAAUAGAUAAAAUGCUAUUCACCAACUACUAGAUUCAUGAAUCUAAAUGAUAAAAGUUUAAUCUCUUCAUCUUAUGAGCAAUAUACAUACCGAGAAGUCAAAAUUACUAAGAAAUAAUGGUUUGAUAAAUCCAAUAUAAAAUGGUAAUAUGCUUAUUUUAUCUUGUAUCUGAAUUCUUUUUAGUUUUGUUUUGAGUGACGUUUUUUGUUACUUAGUGUAGAUGUACACUUUUCACUCAUUUUCUUAAUAUAUAUGUACUAAAAAUACAAUAUUUAUAUAUUAAUAUGAAAAUAACUUACUAAGCUAUUUGAAUACUUGAAUUAACAUGUGAUUAUUUAAAGAAGCUUGAAGAAAGAGAAAUUGACAUAUGUUUUAUCAUUGACCAAAGGUUUUCCUAUUCACUUUAGCUGUUUCAUUUUUUUUUAUUCUGUUUUUGCCUUUUAUACCUUUUUAGCAAUGUUACUCGGUGUUUAACUUAAUAUUUACUAUUGAUAUUAGUCGGGCAAGCUCAUACCUUAUCAAAGAAGUUUUUAAAAUGCCAGUCCUAAUUCUGGUGAUAGCUUGGAUUGCAAUAUUGAUGAAGAAAAUCGCACAACAAAAUAUUUCUUGAUUCUUGUAAGUUUAUAUUUGAUGCAUGAAAUUGGGUGAAGUAGUUUCUAAACCGUAUGUACACUUUAUUUAUCAAACCAUAUACAAUGUAAAAAAAUCAAAACAUACAUUUUAUAUAAGUUUUUAGGGGAAAGCAAUGGUGUGAAGUAUGAAUCUGAUUAGUGGAAUUUUGGUGAUAGAAAAUCGUAGAUAAUUUCGUUUUUGUUUUAAAUCAUGUAAAAACACAUAACUUUUUUUUAUAAAAAUUUGUAUUCGGAAGGUACUUUUGGGAUGCAGGUGGCUUACUUUUUUUUUAUAAAGACUUAUAAUCAUGCAGAUACAUCAGUUGAUUCAUGGAUGAUGGAUGUACAAGAAACGUACAUAGAUGACAUCCAUGUGUGUUGUGUCACUUAUCGGCAAGGUAAACACAUGCCUAAUUUUUAGAAGUUUUUAUUUUAUUUUUAUUUUUUAAAACUUUUAUGAGAUGAUUUUGCAUAUUAUUACAAUAGUGUACUUUGGUGGUUUUUCUUUUUAACCAGAUAAAGUAUGCUUUUUGUAUUGAUAAGAAGAGAAGGAUUGUGAAGAAUAUUGCUCAAAUUGGUAUUCCAUUUUAGGAAUUCAGUAGCUUAUUAAUCAUUUCUCUACGUACUAGUUCGUUUGCUUAUUAUUGUUAAGUGUAAAGUGACUGAAUAUGCAAUGGUGUCCCUCCGGAUGACCUUAUAAAUAAAGUAUAUUUCUUUUCUAAAGGCCUUUAGUGACACUUUUUUUUAUGCCGCUGAUUGCCUAAAGGACUUUUAGUGGCACUUUUUUGGUUUUUAGUGACACUUUUUUUGUGCCACUAAAUGUCAUUUUAUUUAUAAUGUUGUUAGUCAAAUCUGAAAAUAAAAAACACAUCAGAUCUAUUAAGAUUUGAUGCAGAUCAGGCGGUUCUAUGGAGAUUAGAGAGAAAACGAAUUGGAUGCGGUUGUAGAUUUGGCGGAGUGGAGGCGGAGGAUGACGAAGGAUUUUGCGGCGGUAGUCAUUGAUGAUAGAUCUGAAGGUUUCCGAUGAAGAUCAGACCAUAUCUGAUCUUAAUAGAUCAGACGAAGUAGUGCUUUGUCGGUGGUGGCCUUCGGCUUUUCACUCCAGAUUUGAGAUCGGUUGACGAUGGAUCUGAAGUGAAAACCUUGGCUACUUGACAUUCCGGCCACGAAAGGCGGUAGAUGACGACGACAAUAGGCGGUAGGUGGCUGAGCUGGUGUUGGGUUUUGUGUUGUUGGGACAGUUUGAGAAAGUUUUCUUGCAAAAUAAGUUUUAAAGAAUAGA